GUCGGCACGGUUACUCGUAACAUUCUCCCCCCCGUUACGCGCCGCACUUGAUUGUCAGCAGCUCGAUACACCUUUACAAUUCGUCCCCUAGGCCAGCAGUUCCGCGGGUUGUUUCCAUCCGCAACCAAUACCAAGUCGCCUUCAUCUAAUGGUUUCGUCUGCUUGUACCAUCUCGAUCGCUUCGUUAGUGUUGGAUUUACGCACGGACG